GAUCCUGGCUCAGGAUUAACGCUGGCGGUAUGCCUAACACAUGCAAGUCGAACGGAAUACUCGAAAAGAGAAUCUCACACUAGUGAGAGGUUCUCCAACCGAGUAUUUAGUGGCGGACGGGUGAGUAACACGUUGGAACCUGCCCCGAAGUGGGGAAUAACUGCUCGAAAGAGUAGCUAAUACCCCAUAGUAUCCGGCUUAUCCGGAUUAAAGAUUUAUCGCUUCGGGAGGGGCCUGCGUCUGAUUAGCUUGUUGGUGGGGUAAAAGCUCACCAAGGCGACGAUCAGUAGCUGGUUCGAGAGGAUGACCAGCCACACUGGGACUGAGAUACGGCCCAGACUCCUACGGGAGGCAGCAGUGAGGAAUCUUCCACAAUGGACGAAAGUCUGAUGGAGCAAUACCGCGUGCAGGACGACGCUUUUCGGAGUGUAAACUGCUUUUGUCGUCGAAGAUUAUGACUGUAGACGAAGAAUAAGGACCGGCUAACUACGUG
rnacentral:rRNA from 1 species